UUCCCCAGCCUGUCCAUUCCAGAAUGUGCUGAAGCCCAAAGGAGUAGGCCCAAAUGGCCCUGACUGUGACAAUUCUUCUCAUAUCCCAUGAAAGCAGGUCAGGGUACUCUUACCCUGAUUUGACACUCUGCCUUCAUAAGAUCUGAAAGCAAGUUUAUUCACAAAGAAGACUUCCCGAUCUCUCCAUUCCUGAAUGUGCUGAAGCCCAAGGGAGUAGGCUGAAGUGGCACUGAAUGUGACCAUUCUUCUCAUGUCCCAUGAAAGUAGAUCUGAAAGCAAGUUUAUAAGCAAAGGAAGAAAGCUUCCUGACCUCUCCAUUCAUGAAUGUGCUGAAACCCAAGAGAGUAGGCCCAGGUGGCACUGAAUGACCAUUCUUCUCAUAUCCCAUGAAAGCAGUUCUUGCCUUGGGAGAGAUUAACAGCAGAUGUGGCACAUUUUUUGUUCCAGUUCUGAAAGAAGGUUAUUAGAAAAGAAGAUGAAUUCCCCAACCUCUCCAUUCCCAAAUUUGUUGAUGCCCAAGGGAGGAGGCCCCAGUAGCACUGACUGUGACCAUUCUUCUCAUAUCCCAUGAAACAGGUAUAUUUAUAAUAUUGCAAUGGAAUAUACAUCAUUUCUUUCCUUCAUCUGGACAUAUUUGAAAACUGCUGAAUCAUCUCCUUAAAGCAUUUUACUCAAAUUGUGUUUAUCCAGCGUUUCUUCAUGAUGAGAUUGGGUUUAUGAAUUUCAGGCAGAUAUGGCAGAAAAUUAUUUUGCCUUCAGGUUGAUUUUAAAAAUUUUUUUAAAUUUUUAUUUCUUUUCAUUGUAUUUAUUUUAUUUUAAACUUUAUCUAUAAACUAAAACAAUGCACAAACCUCAAAUAUCACCACCUUAUAACAAAAUAAAACAAAGUUUCAGAAAAUCAAAUAACCAGAAAUAACUACUUUGCUUCAUCAUGGUCCAAGUUUGCAUUAAUGUGUUACCUUCAAUCCAAUUGAUUCAAGAUUUGUAUUAUAAACAGUACUCUUCAUACAUUCCAUGUAUAUUCUUAAGGAUCUUGUUUAUUGCUGCACAGUCCUGUGUUUCUUAUUUCCCUUUCUUGUCAUCUAGUUCCAAUUAGACUACUUUGUACUCCUCUUAUCCACUUUCAAAUA